rnacentral:rRNA from 2 species
UUAACGGAGAGUUUGAUCCUGGCUCAGGACGAACGCUGGCGGCGUGCCUAAUACAUGCAAGUCGAGCGGACAGAAGGGAGCUUGCUCCCGGACGUUAGCGGCGGACGGGUGAGUAACACGUGGG